rnacentral:lncRNA from 1 species
UUUUCAAACAAAACUAAAAGGCCAAACCAGCCUUCUCUCCGCCGCAACAGAGCAGCCCCUCUUCAACUUCGAUUCCAAUGAAGUGAGCGAGGUCCGACGACAUGUUUUGAAAAGGUAAGACUCCCCUCUCCUUCCUCUUUUGUUUUAUUUUGCAAAUGUAUGUAAAAAACGAAAAAGAACAGAAGAAAAAAAACAAAAAAGUAAAUCGGAAACCACCUUAUUUUCUAUUCAAUUUCUCUGUGUUUUUUGUAAAAUAUCUCCUCCCUUUUAUUAUUUUUGAUCUAUAAAAUGCGUAUAUAAAAUAAAAUAAAAAGCAAAUAACGAAAAAAAGACGAAAGAUUCAAACCUAAAAACCUUUCCAGAAUUCGAUCUCUAUUUUUUAUUUCUUUGUUUCAAACUCUAUUUUUUCGAUACAAAAAUUCCCCCCUUCGGAUUACAUUUAGUUCGGCCUUUAUAGCCGAUUAUGUUACUUUUUUCUAUUGUAUUCCACUGUUCUUUUGCCUUUAUUUUCUUUUAUUGUUUUGUCUUGUUUGCAGGUUUUGGUGAGGUCAACGGAGACGGAAAGCUUCCAUUUUGGUGCAAGGCGCAGUUGACGGUGGCAGACCUCGGGCGCGGUGCACGCUGAAGGCGCACAUGGGUAGCAGCGGCGCGAGGCAAGGGAACAGCGCCAGAAACCCUAGGGUUCUGGCAUUCUGAAAAUGUCAAAAUGUUUUGGGCCAUUUGGGCUUUUGAAUUUUGGGUUGUGGGUCUGUUAUUGUAAUUAGGUCGGUAAAUUUUUUGGGUUAGUAGGUUUGGGCCCGGGCAA